UUUGCCUUCUGAACUAGAAACAGGGAUUUGUAAAAUAAUGUGCAGUGAUGGCGUGGAAAACUAACCAGCAGCACUCCUGAAACGCUGCCUUCGUGUUCCCCUGGGACUGCUCGCCUCACCCCAAAACUAUUUCUACUGCCUUCCCCUUCCAUGCUACAACUAGUCUCCAAAGGUAGUUUUCUCUACUAACAAAGCAAACAGAUCAUAUGAACGGACAUCAGACUUUCUUAGGAGAUUUCUGAAAAUUCUCUCUUCUGGGGAAAUAAAUUGUGAGCAUUUCGAUUCAAACAUUCCUGAAAGAAUAACCAGGCAACCAAAACACUCAGUGACCUAACUGUGGUGGGCUGGUCACUUCAAACUUAACAGAACAAUAGAACAUAUACUACUUUAUGGCCAAAAAAAAAAAAUCUUUUUAAAACAAUAAGUGUGGACAAAGUGUUUUCACAGAUGAAGAGAUGAAGUUCCUGAAAUUUAGGGUUUCAUUUCUCAAGGGUCUCCUUUAAACAAACAAACAGUUAUGAUUUCAAAGUAGACAUGUGCCUUUAACACCAUUUUUAAAAAUUACCAGCCUUAGCAAAGGUGUAGAAAAAACUUGUUCUCAAGCACUGUCCGUGGAAGAAUUAGUAAAACAUUUCUAGAAAACCUGUUACCGUCUUAACAAACUUUUAAACACAUGUAGCAAUUCUACUUCCAGGAACUUAUCUAUUUGCCAAGACAUAUAUGCAAGGAUCUUCCCUAUAGGGUUGUGUAUAAAGGAAAAAUCAGACAGACUAUGCCAGGAACCCUCUGAAAGAGAAGAGUCAACUGUGGAGGGGGCACCUGUGAAUGAAUCCUGCGGAGUUGCUAACAGAGCAGACUUACACACACAACAUGGUAAAGUUCCAUGACACUGCACACAGGGGAUUACACACACAACAUGGUAAGGUUCCAUGAUGCCACACACAGGGGAUUACACACACCACAUGGUAAGGUUCCAUGACACUGCACCCAGGGGAUAACACACAACACAUGGUAAGGUUCCAUGACACUGCACACAGGGGAUUACACACACAACAUGGUAAGGUUCCAUGAC
rnacentral:lncRNA from 1 species